AGAGUUUGAUCAUGGCUCAGGAUGAACGCUAGCUACAGGCUUAACACAUGCAAGUCGAGGGGCAGCAUGUUGGUUGCUUGCAACCAACGAUGGCGACCGGCGCACGGGUGAGUAACGCGUAUCCAACCUACCCUUGUCCAUCGGAUAACCCGUCGAAAGGCGGCCUAACACGAUAUGCGGUUCACAGCAGGCAUCUAACGUGAACGAAAUAUAAAGGAGAAGGAUGGGGAUGCGUCUGAUUAGCUUGUUGGCGGGUAACGCCACAAGGCUACGAUCAGUAGGGGUUCUGAGAGGAAGGUCCCCCANAUUGGAACUGAGACACGGUCCAAACUCCUACGGGAGGCA
rnacentral:rRNA from 1 species